CAUGUGUGGGAUGAUGAUUUUCCUAUUCCCCAGCUUAUAUACCAUGCUGAUAGUAUAGAUCAUGCCAAUUUUGUCUGACCACACAUU